rnacentral:rRNA from 1 species
GAUGAACGCUGGCGGCGUGCCUAAUACAUGCCAGUCGAGCGAACGGACGAGAAGCUUGCUUCUCUGAUGUUAGCGGCGGACGGGUGAGUAACACGUGGAUAACCUACCUAUAAGACUGGGAUAACUACGGGAAACCGGAGCUAAUACCGGAUAAUAUUUUGAACCGCAUGGUUCAAAAGUGAAAGACGGUCUUGCUGUCACUUAUAGAUGGAUCCGCGCUGCAUUAGCUAGUUGGUAAGGUAACGGCUUACCAAGGCAACGAUGCAUAGCCGACCUGAGAGGGUGAUCGGCCACACUGGAACUGAGACACGGUCCAGACUCCUACGGGAGGCAGCAGUAGGGAAUCUUCCGCAAUGGGCGAAAGCCUGACGGAGCAACGCCGCGUGAGUGAUGAAGGUCUUCGGAUCGUAAAACUCUGUUAUUAGGGAAGAACAUAUGUGUAAGUAACUGUGCACAUCUUGACGGUACCUAAUCAGAAGGCCACGGCUAACUACGUG